rnacentral:misc_RNA from 1 species
UCUCGGUUCGCCAGAUAACAAUAACAAUUAGAACUAUAAUAAAUGGAAUAUGUUACCUCGCGACGUUUGUCUUUGGCAUCAACUCUAUCGGUUUGUUCCUUUAUUCUGGUCAGCUUGCCUUGAACUCUAUCAUGGGAGAAACUAACAAUAAAGGUGAAGCACAGUUGAGUUCAAAGGAUUCAACACCAGUACGUCCUGUAGAUAGCGCUGAAGGGAACAAAGACGAUGGCAAUAAAACUUCCGAGGAUACAAAAUAGUGAAAGAAUGUGACUAGAAAUGAACUCCAGCAAGAUAGCGAUUAUAGCAGAUACUAGCCAGUUUAUGUGCAAGAUUCCUGUAGGUGCACGAGGCAGUUCGGAUCAGACUGCAUCAACGCCAGCAGUGCAAACUCAGAGGUGUUAAAUUGGUUAAGGCUCGAAGACCAUAUGUUCAAUCUUUGGUAGUGAAAUGUAACGCAACAAGUGAUGACGUUCCUCUUUUCAGUGAAGUCGAGAUGAUUGAACCAGUACAGAUAUUCCUCAACCAGUUCAUGAAGUUACAGUGGGACGUAUAAAACACCAAACAGAAGUUGUAUGAGCCACUUGAAAUUUUGUUGAUUCCAACAUAAUAGAGAUAUUAAAGAGUAGAUAGUGAAAGAUCAUAAUGAUCUUGUUUGUUGUGCAUUUG